GUCUCUGUGGUGUAGUGGUUAUCACGCGUCCUUUACACGCAUUUGGUCUUUGAACAAAUACGAGAAACGGACUAGGUCUUCGGUUCGAUCCCGAACAGGGACA